rnacentral:rRNA from 1 species
GACGAACGCUGGCGGCGUGCUUAACACAUGCAAGUCGAACGGAAAGGCCCUGCUUUUGUGGGGUGCUCGAGUGGCGAACGGGUGAGUAACACGUGAGUAACCUGCCCUUGACUUUGGGAUAACUUCAGGAAACUGGGGCUAAUACCGGAUAGGAGCUCCUGCUGCAUGGUGGGGGUUGGAAAGUUUCGGCGGUUGGGGAUGGACUCGUGGCUUAUCAGCUUGUUGGUGGGGUAGUGGCUUACCAAGGCUUUGACGGGUAGCCGGCCUGAGAGGGUGACCGGGCACAUUGGGACUGGGAUACGGGCCAGACUGCAACGGGAGGCAGGAGUGGGAAAUAUUGCGCAAUGGGCGGAGGCCUGAUGGAGCAUCGCCGCGUGCGAGAUGACGGCCUGCGGGGUAUAAACCGCUUUCGCCUGUAACGAAGCGUGAGUGACGGUAAUGGGUAAAGAAGCACCGGCUAACUACGUG